AGGAGGAACAACUGCAGUGGCCUUUCUAGCUCUGGAGCCCUGGAUUCAGCUCCCGCAGGAACUCCGGAGCUCUCUGUCUGCAGGGCCUGGAGGCUCCGGGGCGGG
rnacentral:pre_miRNA from 1 species